GGGGUUGUAAGAUAACUUGGUUAUUCUACCACGUUCGGGACGUGGCAAUCCCAGUUCAAAUCUGGGCAACCCCA
rnacentral:tRNA from 1 species